rnacentral:lncRNA from 1 species
AUGAAAAGGGAAACCACUGAGCGGGAGCCAGGUUCAUUCAUCCCUGAGGGGCUCAGAGAGGAGAAACGAGUCAAAGACCGGAAAAGAAAAAGGGAAGAGGAAAAGGAGAGAGGGAGCAGGGAGUGGAAGGAAACAGAAGUGAGGAAGAAAGAGAAUAAGGAGAAGGGGAAACGUGAACUAAAGGAAAGUAAAGGGGGCGUGAGUAAGAAAGAGGAACCUAAAAAGGAAAGGGAGGGAAAGGACCAGGAGAAGCGAGAUGGUGCAGAGCCCAGCAAAGCCAAGGAGGAGAAGGGAAUCACUGAAGCCAUCUCCGGAAAAGGCAAAGGGCCGGAGGAGAUGGCAACGCAAGAGGGUCGCCCUAGGUUGAAAAGAGCAAAGGAGCCCGAGCAAAUGGAGAGUGGGGAUCAUGCAGAGGGAUUGGAUGGGGGCGCUGGUGAUCAAAGCAAAAAGCAAAAGCAAGGGAGUGAGACAGCAGGGGCGGCGGCAAACAGGGCCAAUACAGGUGAAACACAGAUGGAGAGAGGAAAGAACAGAACAGAAGACAAAGAAAGGGCAGAGGGAGAAGAGAAGCCUGCCCAAUGGCCAGCAAGAGCAGCAGAGGCUGAGGAGAAAAGGGAAGAUAAAGACACAGAGGGAGAGAAAAAGAAUGUCAAAGCAAAUAAGGAAGUGAAGGCAGGAAAGAACCACAAAGAGAGAGGGCAGGAAAAGAGGGAAGAAAAGAUAAAGGAAGCGAAAAACAAGAAGGAGAAAAGGGAAGGAGAGAAGAACAAAGAGAGUGAAGAAAAGACGGGAAGGAAAAAACCUCAGAAGGAUGAAAGGGUGGAAGAUGAGCAAGAAAUGGAAACGGCAGAAGAUGGGGCGAUAGAAGAACAAGAGGGAAAGGAUGAGAGAGAGAAUGAGAAAAGGGAUGAUGUGGAGGAAGAGAGGAAAAGAAAUAAGAGAAUGAAGGAUGAAGAGGAGGAUGAACAAGAGGGAGAAGGAUGGGAAAGGAAUGGAAGAAUGGGAGGUGAACAGGAAAUGGAGAAAAUGGAAAAGGAAGAUGAGAUGGAGAAAGAUGAGACGAGGGAAAAAAAGGAGAAACAAGGAAAGGAGACGAACCAGGCCAAGAAAAAAAACAAGGAGAGAAAAGCAAAGGAUGAAAAUAAACACACAGAAGAGAAGGGAAGAAAGAGCAAAGAGAAAUCCAAGGAGGUGGAGAAUGAGGGGGGAUCGAGGAAAAGGAAAAGCAAAGAGGAAGGAGACAAGAAGAAAAACAAGAAAUUAAAGAAGGAGGAAGAUGAGAAGGAAAAGAAGAAAGAGGAAAACAAGUGGAAGUGGUAA